UGCAGCUAUGUACUGUUUAGGCAGUACGAUGUUUUAAAAUGAACCUGAAUCAUUCUAAAACAUUGAAAAAGUCAGGAAAAUUCACAUAAGAAUCUAGAUUUCUAGCUUUCUUUGUGCUUUCAUUUGGCGACAGUUGCCCAAAGGAGCCCUUUUAGGCAAGCCCUCCUUCCCAGUUCUACACGGUCCCAUCUGGUCCACUUCACUCAUUUAUAUGAUAUUACCUGCCUACUCCCUAUAGGAAUUGAAAUAUGCAACCUUGAAUGAGCUGUUUCAGCUUUCAGGCUUAACAAUCUGUGAAAUUUAAGCCCGGUAGAAUAAACACAAGCUGCCACUUGGAAAACAGUUCUGAGGAAAAGCCCAGCUGGGGAGGCAAAUGUGAGAGGAUCCAAAAAGCUGCCAAGUGACCGUAUUUUGGGAGUAAAUAACUGGGAGUGGAAUUUCUGGAUCAUAGGCCACAGACUUCAGGAGAAACUGACCCUACCG